rnacentral:rRNA from 1 species
CACGUAGGGGGCAAGCGUUUGUCCGGAUUUAUUGGGCGUAAAGAGCUCGUAGGCGGUUCGGUAAGUUGGGUGUGAAACCUCCAGGCUCAACCUGGGAGACGCCACCCGAUACUGCUGUGACUAGAGUCCGGUGAGGGAGCGUGGAAUUCCUGGUGUAGCGGUGAAAUGCGCAGAUAUCAGGAGGAACACCAGCGGCGAAGGCGGCGCUCUGGGCCGGAACUGACGCUGAGGAGCGAAAGCGUGGGUAGCAAACAGG